UUUGAUACAUAAAACUUUAGCGGAUUCAAUUAAAACUUGGCAAACUCUAAAGCCUAAGAAUGCUUCUUUAAUUACACGCUGUGGAAAAGAGACUCACAAAGACUUAUCAAAGCAUAAAAAUUAUAAGGUGACUCAUGUUAAUUUUAAACAACAACUAACAAGCUACUAAGAUCACAUUCAACUCAGGUUCAUGAGCAGAAAAUUUAUAGCAGAAUAAUCUUCUUGUUAUCUUCCAAACAGCCUGUCCUUUGCUAGCUUUUUACAACCAGCAUAGAUUACAAUUUUUAGUAGAUACAACCAUGAUUAUAACCAAAAGAAAACACACUUAGGAUAUAAUAAACCAAACUAAAUCUCAUAGCAUAUGAAGGAUUCCAAAUCAAAUACAACCAUGAGAGAUAUCUGUUUCAAGUUCCAAACCAACUAAUUAUACUAUGAACCACACUAUGAGACAUGAAAGUAAAGGGGGUGCUGUAGAAUCACAAGCAGAUUUGCUUCUACACUUCAAAUAUUAGUUUUUCCAUUUCAAUUCUUCCAAUCCAACGCGACAUUAAUAAAGUUCAAGCCAUGUACCUGGAAAUGAAAGGAAUUAAGAAACAGGGGAUCAGCAAUGGCAAUGUAACAGAAACCAGCAGCAAGAAACAGAACCAGAAAUUGAUUCAAGACCAAGGAAAUGAUGUUCAGACCCCAAGAUCAACCUCAGUCGAAAAAAAAAUGAUCAAAUUGACUUCAACACUGAUCUCAAAACCAAGUUCAACUCAUUUUAAAAAACCCCAAAUGAAGCAAAGGUGCUUCAGUAGAAAACUAACUUAGAAAUCAAAUGAGAUGAAAAAGAAACUUCCAAUGGAACAGUAAAUAAACUUUACCCAUCUCUCUUUCUGGAUUUUUUUUCUCUCCUUAAAUUUGAUGUAUCUUUUAGUUCUUAAAUUCAUUAGGCUCUGUAAUCUGAUUUGCAAGGCAAGGAUAUAGUGCCUUUAUAGGAAAGCAAGUACUGCAACUUCAGAUUUUUAUUUUACCACUUAGGUCCUCUUUUAAUUUCUGCUUUUUUGCUUUAAAGAUCAUUGAAUUACUGACUUGUGGCUCAAGUUAAUAUGAUAUGUAGCUUCUAGAAGCUUCCUUACAGUUAUUAAAAGAUUCUCUAGUUGACUUAUCCCUAUUACCCCUAAAGACCCUUAAAAUUACCUAAGCUACCAAACAGACUUGGGCUUGAUUGACCUUGUUUGAAAUACUAGACUUGAAACAAAGCAGGAUUGACCUUGUUUGAAAUACUAACACAGUCUUGCUAAUCUAAUUUCACUAUUGGUCGAAUAAGAUGAGACUGAGAAGAAUGAGAUAAAGCACGAAGGAGACGAGAAAAAGAAAACAAAGAUAAAGAAAUGAAAAGGAUAGGAAAUACCCUUGAGAGAAACAGCUAGAUGGCUGGCUUGAAUAGGUCUCUAGUAUUCUUUGAUUUGAACCAAAAUUGGUAUUAAUCGAAUGUUCUUGUUAAGAAAAAACGAUUAAUACAAUUUUUAGGCCAAAAUCACUCCUGGACAGUGGGAGACUUUACUUUUAUUUUCUCAUAGAUCUAAAACUGGCCUUGCUUAGUGAUGACUUGAAGAGAUGUAGUGGUGAAUUAGGGUUAAAGAAAGGGUAACGGUUUCCCGGAAUAAAUUUGGGGUUGAAUAGGGGAGGCGCCGCCACCGGAGGAGUUGUGGCGGCGCUAGGGUUUGCAGCUUCUGAGCAAGAUUCGAGAGGUUUGAGCAGGAUUCGAGGGAAAAGGGGUGUAUCUUUGGAAAGAGGAGAAGGAGAAGAAGCUAUGGUGUCAUUUUGGUGAUGAUUGGCCGUCGACCGCCGCCGUGGGUGAUUUCUGGCGGGUGGCAGGUGGUGGAGACGGUGGCGUUACAGGGGUUUUGAGAGAUUUGUGAGAUGGUGAGUGAAAGGGAGGAGGGGGGAGGCAACGUUUGGAC
rnacentral:lncRNA from 1 species